rnacentral:rRNA from 1 species
UUGAUCCUGGCUCAGGACGAACGCUGGCGGCGUGCCUAAUACAUGCAAGUCGAGCGAGCCGAACUAAUUGAUUACCUUCGGGUAUGAAGUUAGGGAAGCGAGCGGCGGAUGGGUGAGUAACACGUGGGUAACCUACCCUAUAGUCUGGGAUACCACUUGGAAACAGGUGCUAAUACCGGAUAAAAGGAGAGAUCACAUGAUUUCUUUUUGAAAGGCGGCGUAAGCUGUCGCUAAAGGAUGGACCCGCGGUGCAUUAGCUAGUUGGUAAGGUAACGGCUUACCAAGGCAACGAUGCAUAGCGAGUGUGAGAGGACCUGUCGCCCACACAUUGGGACUGAGAACGCCCAAACUUCUCUACGGAGGCAGCAGAGGGAAUCUUCCCACAAUUGGAACGCAAGUCUGAUGGAGCAACGCCGCGUGGAGUGAAGAAGGUUUUCGGAUCGUAAAGCUCUGUUGUUGGUGAAGAAAGAUAGUGAGAGUAACUGCUCAUUAUUUGCCGGUAAUCAACCAGAAAGUCACGGCUAACUACGUGCCAGCAGCCGCGGUAAUACGUAGGUGGCAAGCGUUGUCCGGAUUUAUUGGGCGUAAAGCGAGCGCAGGCGGAAAGAUAAGUCAGAUGUGAAAGCCCUCGGCUUAACCGAGGAAUAGCAUCGGAAACUGUCUUUCUUGAGUGCAGAAGAGGAGAGUGGAACUCCAUGUGUAGCGGUGGAAUGCGUAGAUAUAUGGAAGAACACCAGUGGCGAAGGCGGCUCUCUGGUCUGUAACUGACGCUGAGGCUCGAAAGCAUGGGUAGCGAACAGGAUUAGAUACCCUGGUAGUCCAUGCUGUAAACGAUGAGUGCUAAGUGGUUUGGGAGGUUUCCGCCUCUCAGUGCUGCAGCUAACGCAUUAAGCACUCCGCCUGGGGAGUACGACCGCAAGGUCAAAACUCAAAGGAAUUGACGGGGGCCCGCACAAGCGGUGGAGCAUGUGGUUUAAUUCGAAGCAACGCGAAGAACCUUACCAGGUCUUGACAUCUAGUGCCAACCUAAGAGAUUAGGCGUUCCCUUCGGGGACACUAAGACAGGUGGUGCAUGGCUGUCGUCAGCUCGUGUCGUGAAUGUUUGGGUUAAGUCCCGCAACGAGCGCAACCCUUAUUAUUAGUGCCAGCAUUAAGUGGGCACUUCUAAUGAGAACUGCCGGUGACAAACCGAGAAGUGUGGGAUUGACCUCAGAUCAUACUAUGUCCCCUAUGACCUGGGCUACACACGUGCUACAAUGGGCAGUACAACGAGGAGCGAACUUGUGAAGGCAAGCGAAUCUCUGAAAGCUGUUCUCAGUUCGGACUGUAGGCUGCAACUCGCCUACACGAAGCUGGAAUCGCUAGUAAUCGCGGAUCAGCACGCCGCGGUGAAU